GUAAGAGCAGUGCGAGGAGCGGCGGGAAAGCGGGGUGUUCAAGUGUUAAUCGGAAUUACUGGGCGUAAAGCGUGCGCAGGCGGCUUAUUAAGUCAGAUGUGAAAUCCUUAGGCUCAACCUAGGAACUGCAUGUGAAACUAAUAAACUAGAGUAUCGUAGAGGGAGGUAGAAUUCCAGGUGUAGCGGUGAAAUGCGUAGAUAUCUGGAGGAAUACCAGUGGCGAAGGCGACCUCCUGGACGAAAACUGACGCUCAAGCACGAAAGCAUGGGGAGCAAACAGGAUUAGAUACCCCAGUAGUC
rnacentral:rRNA from 1 species